rnacentral:lncRNA from 1 species
CCUAGAUCUACGUGGGAAAUCUAUGGAUAUAAAAUACCUUAUUUUCAUUCCUGAUUAGAGUUUCCAUCAAUAUGAUCACACAACACUCCAGAAGUGCAUGAGAUUUACAAAGGACACCAUGCUGCUGCAGGGGAACUCCAGGGUCCCCUCGUGUGUAACAGAAUGAUCCAAGGCAUUUUCUGCUAUGGAAAAAAUAAUGGAAGACCACAAGUAGUGUGGUUCUCCCAUUCCAGCCCUGGGUAAGUUCUCCCACUUCCACCCUUGGAGAAGGAGCACCACGGGGCACUUUUAACAGCAGGCAUAAGAUUGCCUUCCUGAUCAUCUUUUCUGAAGCAGAAGAAAGACUGCCAUGAGCACAGGC